CUUUUUGUCCCCUCCUUGCUGGUCUUCUAAGCAGAUUGAAGCAGCUUCAUCUCAUUCCUGGUUCAUCCUGAUUCCCUCAGUGGCUUGCUCCUGCAUUAGUAAUGUAAAACUGGCCCAAAAGGGUUUAAAAUUGUCAGAAGUUGAUCUUGAUCAGUUCAAAUAUUUUUUGACAAAGAAAAUCAGUUCUGGUCAGUUCAAAUCUAUUUUGACCAGUUUAAACCAAUUCUGCAGAACUCGAGCCUGUGGUCGGUAAACCCAGGAAGAUGGCUGAAGACUAUGCUGAUUCAAGCCAAAGCAAGGAAUCAGCUUCUGCUGAUCCUGCUUUUUGGAAUUAAGAAUUCCCAAACAGGUUGCUUCCAAGACGGCUGAAUAGGAACAGCUCCAGUCUACAACUCCCAGUGAGAUCGAUGCAGAAGGAUGGGCCGCAAAGGAGAUUCUUCCAAGAUUUCAGAAGUUGGAAGGGAAGCAGAAUCCAUUUGAUAACACAAACACAUUGUUGCUUAUCUGUUGACUCAACUUGGGAUGAAGAAGCAGUUGAGCCAGUUGUGUGUGUAGAGCUCAAGGACAAAGGUCCUUAGCUUCUGCAGAAUACUAUCAUCACCAAGCUCACAGGCUUCUAGAGCAGACAUGUGCUUCAGUCCAUUCUGUGGGCUUCCAGCUUCUACUCUUGGAGUUCCAUCCUUUUUUAUGAUAUUACCUUUCUAACUGCAUAUGCUGUGGACUUCAAGCACUUGAAUCAGAUGUAGAGACAUUAUAUGGACUGCUUGAGUAGCCCCCACAACUGUGUAAGCCAAAUCCCUGUAACAAGUAUUUAUCCGUCCAUCCAUUCAUCUGUCUGUCUAUCUAUGAAUCUAUUGAUCUAUCUAGCUAUAUUAGUCCAUUCUUGCACUCUAUAAAGCACUACACAAGACUGGAUAAUUUAUAAAG
rnacentral:lncRNA from 10 species